GGGGCAGCAGCAGGGCUAAGGGAGGGUGCUUGGUCUCCACACAGACUGACUCACAGUACACUUCGGCAGUGACAGAGAACAUCAAGGCCUUGUUCCCCACGGAGAUCCAUUCUGGGCUCCUGGAGGUCAUCUCACCCUCCCCCAACUUUUACCCUGACUUCUCCCGCCUCCGAGAGUCCUUUGGGGACCCCAAGGAGAGAGUCAGGUGGAGGACCAAACAGAACCUCGAUUACUGCUUCCUCAUGAUGUACGCGCAGUCCAAAGGCAUCUACUACGUGCAGCUGGAGGAUGACAUCGUGGCCAAGCCCAACUACCUGAGCACCAUGAAGAACUUCGCACUGCAGCAGCCUUCAGAGGACUGGAUGAUCCUGGAGUUCUCCCAGCUGGGCUUCAUUGGUAAGAUGUUCAAGUCGCUGGACCUGAGCCUGAUUGUGGAGUUCAUCCUCAUGUUCUACCGGGACAAGCCCAUCGACUGGCUCCUGGAUCAUAUUCUGUGGGUGAAAGUCUGCAACCCCGAGAAGGAUGCGAAGCACUGUGACCGG
rnacentral:sRNA from 1 species